rnacentral:rRNA from 1 species
GUCGAGAAUUUUUCACAAUGGGGGAAACCCUGAUGGAGCGACGCCGCGUGGGGGAUGAAUGGCUUCGGCCCGUAAACCCCUGUCAUUUGCGAGCAAUUGCACCCGCCUAAUACGCUGGUGCUUGAUAGUAGCGAAAGAGGAAGGGACGGCUAACUCUGUGCCAGCAGCCGCGGUAAUACAGAGGUCCCAAGCGUUGUUCGGAUUCACUGGGCGUAAAGGGUGCGUAGGCGGUCAGUCUAGUCUGAUGUGAAAGCUCCGAGCUCAACUCGGAAACGGCAUCGGAAACUGGCUGGCUAGAGGAGUGGAGGGGGGAUUGGAAUUCUCGGUGUAGCAGUGAAAUGCGUAGAUAUCGAGAGGAACACCCGUGGCGAAGGCAAAUCCCUGGACACCUCCUGACGCUGAGGCACGAAAGCUAGGGGAGCAAACAGGAUUAGAAACCCUAGUAGUCC